GAGUUUGAUCCUGGCUCAGAUUGAACGCUGGCGGCAUGCCUUACACAUGCAAGUCGAACGGUAACAGGUCUUCGGAUGCUGACGAGUGGCGAACGGGUGAGUAAUACAUCGGAACGUGCCCGAGAGUGGGGGAUAACGAAGCGAAAGCUUUGCUAAUACCGCAUACGAUCUCAGGAUGAAAGCAGGGGACCGCAAGGCCUUGCGCUCACGGAGCGGCCGAUGGCAGAUUAGGUAGUUGGUGGGAUAAAAGCUUACCGAGCCGACGAUCUGUAGCUGGUCUGAGAGGACGACCAGCCACACUGGGACUGAGACACGGCCCAGACUCCUACGGGAGGCAGCAGUGGGGAAUUUUGGACAAUGGGCGCAAGCCUGAUCCAGCCAUGCCGCGUGCAGGAUGAAGGCCUUCGGGUUGUAAACUGCUUUUGUACGGAACGAAAAGACUCCUUCUAAUAAAGGGGGUCCAUGACGGUACCGUAAGAAUAAGCACCGGCUAACUACGUGCCAGCAGCCGCGGUAA
rnacentral:rRNA from 1 species